rnacentral:rRNA from 1 species
AGUGAACGCUGGCGGUAGGCCUAACACAUGCAAGUCUAACGGCAGCACAGGAGAGCUUGCUCUCUGGGUGGCGAGUGGCGGACGGGUGAGGAAUACAUCGGAAUCUACUUUUUCGUGGGGGAUAACGUAGGGAAACUUACGCUAAUACCGCAUACGACCUACGGGUGAAAGCAGGGGAUCUUCGGACCUUGCGCGAUUGAAUGAGCCGAUGUCGGAUUAGCUAGUUGGCGGGGUAAAGGCCCACCAAGGCGACGGUCCGUAGCUGGUCUGAGAGGAUGAACAGCCACACUGGAACUGAGACACGGUCCAGACUCCUACGGGAGGCAGCAGUGGGGAAUAUUGGACAAUGGGCGCAAGCCUGAUCCAGCCAUACCGCGUGGGUGAAGAAGGCCUUCGGGUUGUAAAGCCCUUUUGUUGGGAAAGAAAUCCAGCUGGUUAAUACCCGGUUGGGAUGACGGUACCCAAAGAAUAAGCACCGGCUAACUUCGUGCCAGCCGCCGCAGUAA